rnacentral:rRNA from 1 species
GACGAACGCUGGCGGCGUGCUUAACACAUGCAAGUCGAACGGAAAGGCCCUUCGGGGUACUCGAGUGGCGAACGGGUGAGUAACACGUGGGUGAUCUGCCCUGCACUUUGGGAUAAGCCUGGGAAACUGGGUCUAAUACCGGAUAGGACUACGGCCUGCAUGGGUUGUGGUGGAAAGCUUUUGCGGUGUGGGAUGGGCCCGCGGCCUAUCAGCUUGUUGGUGGGGUGAUGGCCUACCAAGGCGACGACGGGUAGCCGGCCUGAGAGGGUGACCGGCCACACUGGGACUGAGAUACGGCCCAGACUCCUACGGGAGGCAGCAGUGGGGAAUAUUGCACAAUGGGCGCAAGCCUGAUGCAGCGACGCCGCGUGGGGGGAUGACGGCCUCGGGUU